GUAGUCAAACAUCGAUUGUAUGGACAACUGUUUAAGGCAUCUAAGACAACAAUGCAUUACGUAUAAAUACCUGAAAAAGAUGAGAUCUUUCUUAUAUACAAUCGACAAGGUAAGAUAAUAAGAGUAAAGAUCGAGUCUUUGACAUCAGUAUAAAGAAGAACGUAAAUAAAUUUCAUGCUAUUGUUAUGAUUAUCGUUGAUUUUAUAAGAUUCUCAUAUUUUAAUCGAGAUUUUUUCUACCUGUAGUUGUUAGCCAUUACAAUGUCAUCGACCGAAGAUGCACCUAACUCGUCAGCAACAUCCCAGAGGGUGUCUCCAGCCCUCCAUACGUAAGUAAUGAGUAACCCUAUUCCGUUCUCUCUUUGAGCCCCGGAAGGGCAUUGACAGAAGAGAGGAAACACCACUUGGUCACCAGGUUGCAGCCCGGUUGGAAUCAAACCAGGGUUCAACCCUGCUACGGCUUCCCAAUCGGUCAGGUUCUCCAAGGAAGUGGUGGAGACCAAGUAGAAACUGUCACCUCCUCUGAUUUGGUAAGUGAGAUUAGAGAAUGAACUGUUCCUUCUGCAUCCACAAUCUAUAGGCACAAGCAACAGCUGGUCCGGAGCCAGAUCAUUCUCGUUGUGAGGCAAGUUGCUCGCGGUUGCUAUCGACGACUGGCUGACACCGAAGAGGUCGGAGAUGCUGCUGAGGUUCAUGAAGUUUGGUGGCUGGACAUGGUACGAUACGUAGGUUUUGCAUGGGUGAGUUGGUUCAGAAUCGGAGCAGGUGAAUCCAGUGGUUUUUGGUGGAGACUGUGAUAUGACAAGAGUUGCAGAAUGACUACAAGAGAGCAGAACCAAGAAGAUUAGUUUUGAGAUUGGCUCCAUUGUUAUGAGAGCUUUGGAGAAAGUUGUCCAAACCCAGUAGAGGUUUAAUAGAAAAGUGUUGGGGGAGAGGGUUGAGAUAGACUUUUAUAGUUUUCAUCAGCACGUCCUUUUUGAAAAUACGUGCACUGAUGGAGGGUUAUUAGAAUUCAUCUCGGUCUAUAAAGACUCCGAUACUAUAACACAAAGAACCAGAGCAAUGAG
rnacentral:lncRNA from 1 species